UUAUUGUAACUAUAUUCAUACUGUUCAUCUCUCAUUCUUAAAGCAUGUGCAAGUAUCUGGUUUUAUCGAGUCUAGUUCUGCUUGUACAACAAGAAAAUAAGUAGGUCUAAGAUAGACCUAAUAUUGGAAACUAAUUUGUUUCUCAAGUGGAGUUCAUCUUCUCAAGCAUGACAUUGUCAUCACUACUAUAAUAAGCAUUCUUCUUCUCCAAUUUGAAAAAAAGAAGAAGAAGAAAGCAAACAAUUUACUUGGCGAUUUUGCUCCAUUUGAAGGUUUUACUUGGAGUGGGAGAAACCAUUUCUUCGCGGACGUGUCCCAAGGUACUUCUUUUGAAUGGUACUCAUGAUCGAGAAACUAGUGGCUUUGGUGCUUCUUGCUUUGUGACUGCCAUUACUGAUGCCUUAAAUCGAACUUAUGGAAAUCCUCACAACUGUCUUAAAAAUCCUCCAAACAAAUAUCUCAACACCCUUCUGGUGCCAAAAAAUGGCCAAAUACAUGUGGAUAUAGAACGCCUGGCUUCUCAGGGAAUUUUCAAUGUGGUCACUGUGGAUUCCAUCCAUGAUCCAAAAAUGGGAGUGCUUUUCGAUCCUAAAUCAUUGAUUCAAGCGCUUUCUAAUUUGUUGACGGACACGUGAGCCUGAAUGCUAUUGUGGCUCGUUAAACCUUAAUUUAUCAGAAAUUGAGAAGCUGGUGGCACAGUAGUGUUUUGAAGAAUCUCCAUUUUUUGCGUAACUUGCAAGGAAUAAUUUUAAUGCUGAUAUGGCAGGAUUGAAGAGAAACAGGCUCUUCCGAGACACUUGGUAGAUAACAAUUCAAGCACUUCUGCAUUGAUUUCAACUUCCUGAAGUCUGAAGGAUGAUGGUAAGGCUUGCAUAGUUUCAGAAGCUGUAGAAUAUGACGUAGGAAUUUCUUUGAUUUUAUUCAGCUCUAAUGGGAAUAGGCAUCGCUCACAAUUGAGCUGAAACACAUGUGAUGUUUCAAAUUUUAUAUGAAUUUGGACUUGUACAUAUUGAAAUUUGUGCCAACCACAACUAGUUCAGGAUUGGGGCAUAGUUGUUGAACAUAAUGAAAUUUUGUGCAUAUCAAGGGCCUUAUUUUAAAUGAAAAUGUUCACUUUUUAUGA